rnacentral:rRNA from 1 species
UACAGAGGUCCCAAGCGUUGUUCGGAUUCACUGGGCGUAAAGGGUGCGCAGGUGGUUUGGCAAGUUUGACGUGAAAGCCCCGGGCUUAACCCGGGAACGGCGUUGAAAACUGCUUGAACUGGAGGAUUGGAGGGGGGACUGGAAUUCUUGGUGUAGCAGUGAAAUGCGUAGAUAUCAAGAGGAACACCAGUGGCGAAGGCGAGUCCCUGGCCAAUACCUGACACUGAGGCACGAAAGCCAAGGGAGCAAACAGG